GAGACUACCGGAACUCGACUCAACGACUCGCCGACGUCAACAUCGGUAUCGAGACAAAGAAAUCGUCGAGCUCGUCUCCGUCGGGAUCGAACGACUCCGCUCGUUCGAAUCAAUCGUACCGGGAUCCUUUGUACGGUGACGACAGAGGUGCAUGAAUAUCGACAUGUCCGAAGCAGUGAGUGAGCCCCACGCGAUAGCAGAAGCAGACAAAAGCAAGGCAGAUGGCUCGUCCGCUCAAGAUGACACCGCAGUCCAGCAAACCCCGGGGGAGCAGACGGAAGACAACGACGAUGUCUCCGAUAUCAACUUGAAAGAUCCCGAAUUGGAGAAAGUGGCGCUGAAAAUGCAAUCAAAAUUCCGCUUCAAGAAGAAGUAAUCUCCGGGAAGGAAUCGCAGACAAUCGACUUCGCAGGAUUGUACCAAGAACAGCUCGAAGAAAACUGCGGGCAGGGUCGUUCCGGAAUCCACGGGCUAUUUUCACGGAAAUAGAGAAUCUCGCUCCGAGCGUCCUCGUGAAUUCAUCUUGGAUUAUUACAAGUUGGGACGUUCGAGAAUAAUUCUUUCUUACCGCGGCACAUCUAGGUCCCAUGAUCGGUCCGAGCUCGGUGAACACAGCUUGGGCUGGGUCGCAUUCAGGAGCUACGUUGAGAAUACUCUUGGACGCGAACUCUACUACUUGCAACUCUCCGGAUCCUACGCAGCCGCUCAUCGAGAGUGGAUGGUGAUCCAGGGUAAAAUGGCAUGGCGUAAGAGAUUUCACCGGACGAUGUCUGUGAUUUCUAUGAGGUUUCCGAAAGCGAAAUCUCUCGACCUGCCUAAUCCUGCUCUAGAAUA